rnacentral:rRNA from 1 species
UACGGGGGGGGCAAGCGUUGUUCGGAAUUACUGGGCGUAAAGGGCUUGUAGGCGGCCAACUAAGUCAGACGUGAAAUCCCUCGGCUUAACCGGGGAACUGCGUCUGAUACUGGAUGGCUUGAGUGUGGGAGAGGGAUGCGGAAUUCCAGGUGUAGCGGUGAAAUGCGUAGAUAUCUGGAGGAACACCGGUGGCGAAGGCGGCAUCCUGGACCAUUACUGACACUGAAAAGCGAAAGCCAGGGGAGCAAACGGG